GGUCAAGUGAAUAAGCGCAUAGGGUGAAUGCCUAGGCGAUAAGAGGCGAUGAAGGACGUUGUAGGAUGCGAUAAGUCGCGGGGAGUUUUCAAACAAACUUUGAUCCGCGAAUUUCCGAAUGGGGAAACCCAAUCUGCAUAAGCAGAUUAUCUUGCUCUGAAUACAUAGGAGUAAGAGGCGAACCGGGGGAACUGAAACAUCUAAGUACCCCGAGGAAAAGAAAUCAAACGAGAUUCCCUAAGUAGCGGCGAGCGAACGGGGAACAGCCGAGUCUUUUGCGAUAGUGGAACAGUCUGGAAAGUCUGACGAUACAGGGUGAUAGUCCCGUACACGAAAUCAAAAAGGAACGUAUUAAGUAGGGCGAUGCACGUGAAACGUUGUCUGAAGAUAGGGGGACCAUCCUCUAAGGCUAAAUACUACUUAUCGACCGAUAGUGAACUAGUACCGUGAGGGAAAGGCGAAAAGAACCCCGGAGAGGGGAGUGAAAUAGAUCCUGAAACCCUAUGCGUACAAGCAGUAGGAGCGGACUUGUUCCGUGACUGCGUACCUUUUGUAUAAUGGGUCAGCGACUUAAUCUUAGUGGCAAGCUUAACCGAGAAGGGGAGGCGUAGCGAAAGCGAGUCUUAAUAGGGCGUUUAGUCGCUAGGAUUAGACCCGAAACCGGGCGAUCUAUCCAUGGCCAGGUUGAAGGUGGGGUAAUACCUACUGGAGGACCGAACCCACGUAUGUUGAAAAAUGCGGGGAUGAGCUGUGGAUCGGAGUGAAAGGCUAAUCAAGCCCGGAGAUAGCUGGUUCUCCUCGAAAUCUAUUUAGGUAGAGCCUCGUGUAUAACUGUUGGGGGUAGAGCACUGUUACGGCUAGGGGGUCAUCCCGACUUACCAAACCGUUGCAAACUCCGAAUACCAACAAGUUUUAGCACGGGAGACACACGGCGGGUGCUAAGGUCCGUCGUGAAAAGGGAAACAGCCCAGACCGUCAGCUAAGGUCCCAAAAUCACUACUCAGUGGGAAACGAUGUGAAAAGGCCCAGACAGCCAGGAGGUUGGCUUAGAAGCAGCCAUCCUUUAAAGAAAGCGUAAUAGCUCACUGGUCGAGUCGGUUUGCGCGGAAGAUUUACCGGGGCUAAGUAGUGUACCGAAGCUACGGAUCGACGUUAAUUUAUUAACGGAGGUGGUAGAGGAGCGUUCCGUAAGCCUGCGAAGGUCAAUUGAGAAGUUGGCUGGAGGUAUCGGAAGUGCGAAUGCUGACAUGAGUAACGAUAAAGGGGGUGAAAAACCCCCUCGCCGAAAACCCAAGGUUUCCUGCGCAACGUUAAUCGACGCAGGGUUAGUCGGAACCUAAGGCGAGGCCGAAAGGCGUAGUCGAUGGAAAACAGGUUAAUAUUCCUGUACUUGUUAUAACUGCGAUGGGGUGACGGAGCAGGCUAGAUCAGCUUACGGUUGGAAAUGUAAGUUUAAGCGUGUAGGGAGAGAGUUUAGGUAAAUCCGGACUCUUGUUAAUUCUGAGACGUGAUGACGAGUUUCUCCUCGUGAGAGACGAAGUGAUUGAUGCCAUACUUCCAAGAAAAACCUCUAAGCUUCAGGUUAUAACGACCCGUACCCCAAACCGACACAGGUGGGUGGGAUGAGAAUUCUAAGGCGCUUGAGAGAACUCGGCUGAAGGAACUAGGCAAAAUUGUACCGUAACUUCGGGAGAAGGUACGCCUUUUGUAGGUGAAGCGACUUGCUCGUGGAGCUGAAGAAGGCAGCAUUAAAUUGGUGGCUGCGACUGUUUAUCAAAAACACAGCACUCUGCAAACUCGCAAGAGGAAGUAUAGGGUGUGACGCCUGCCCGGUGCCGGAAGGUUAAUUGAUGGGGUUAUCUUCGGAAAAGCUCUUGAUCGAAGCCCCGGUAAACGGCGGCCGUAACUAUAACGGUCCUAAGGUAGCGAAAUUCCUUGUCGGGUAAGUUCCGACCUGCACGAAUGGCGUAACGAUGGCCACACUGUCUCCAGCCGAGACUCAGUGAAAUUGAAAUUGCGGUGAAGAUGCCGUAUACCCGCGGCUAGACGGAAAGACCCCGUGAACCUUUACUAUAGCUUUACACUGGACUUUGAACCUAUUUGUGUAGGAUAGGUGGGAGACUUUGAAACCAUGUCGCUAGAUGUGGUGGAGUCAACCUUGAAAUACCACCCUGGUAUGUUUGAAGUUCUAACCUAGACCCCUUAUCGGGGUUGGGGACAGUGUAUGGUGGGUAGUUUGACUGGGGCGGUCUCCUCCCAAAGAGUAACGGAGGAGCACGAAGGUGUGCUCAGCAUGGUCGGAAAUCAUGCAAUGAGUGUAAUGGCAAAAGCACGCUUGACUGCGAGAUAGACACAUCGAGCAGGUACGAAAGUAGGUCAUAGUGAUCCGGUGGUUCUGAAUGGAAGGGCCAUCGCUCAACGGAUAAAAGGUACUCCGGGGAUAACAGGCUGAUACCGCCCAAGAGUUCAUAUCGACGGCGGUGUUUGGCACCUCGAUGUCGGCUCAUCACAUCCUGGGGCUGAAGCAGGUCCCAAGGGUAUGGCUGUUCGCCAUUUAAAGUGGUACGCGAGCUGGGUUCAGAACGUCGUGAGACAGUUCGGUCCCUAUCUGCCGUGGGCGUUUGAGAUUUGAGGGAAGCUGCUCCUAGUACGAGAGGACCGGAGUGGACGAACCCCUGGUGUUCGGGUUGUCAUGCCAAUGGCAUUGCCCGGUAGCUACGUUCGGACAGGAUAACCGCUGAAAGCAUCUAAGCGGGAAGCCCCUCCCAAGAUGAGAUCUCACUGGAACUUAAAGUUCCCUGAAGGGCUGUUGAAGACUACAACGUUGAUAGGCAAGAUGUGGAAGCGCAGUAAUGUGUGAAGCUAACUUGUACUAAUUGCCCGUGAGGCUUGACCAUAUAACACCAAAUGCGUUUCA
rnacentral:rRNA from 2 species